rnacentral:rRNA from 1 species
GAUGAACGCUGGCGGCGUGCCUAAUACAUGCAAGUCGAGCGAACGGACGAGAAGCUUGCUUCUCUGAUGUUAGCGGCGGACGGGUGGGUAACACGUGGAUAACCUACCUAUAAGACUGGGAUAACUUCGGGAAACCGGAGCUAAUACCGGAUAAUAUUUUGAACCGCAUGGUUCAAAAGUGAAAGACGGUCUUGCUGUCACUUAUAGAUGGAUCCGCGCUGCAUUAGCUAGUUGGUAGGUAACGGCUUACCAAGGCAACGAUGCAUAGCCGACCUGAGAGGGUGAUCGGCCACACUGGAACUGAGACACGGUCCAGACUCCUACGGGAGGCAGCAGUAGGGAAUCUUCCGCAAUGGGCGAAAGCCUGACGGAGCAACGCCGCGUGAGUGAUGAAGGUCUUCGGAUCGUAAAACUCUGUUAUUAGGGAAGAACAUAUGUGUAAGUAACUGUGCACAUCUUGACGGUACCUAAUCAGAAAGCCACGGCUAACUACGUG